UACGUAGGAUGCAAGCGUUGUCCGGAAUUAUUGGGCGUAAAGAGCGCGCAGGCGGUAUGACAAGUCAGGAUGUGAAAGAGGUCGGCUUAACCGGCAAGGGUCAUUUGAAACUGUCAGACUAGAGUGCAGCAGAGGAUAGUGGAAUUCCCGGUGAUAGUGGUGAAAUGCGUAGAUAUCGGGAGGAACACCAGUGGCGAAGGCGACUAUCUGGGCUG
rnacentral:rRNA from 1 species